rnacentral:rRNA from 1 species
GAUGGACGCUGGCGGCGUGCCUAAUACAUGCAAGUCGAGCGAACAGACGAGGAGCUUGCUCCUCUGACGUUAGCGGCGGACGGGUGAGUAACACGUGGAUAACCUACCUAUAAGACUGGGAUAACUUCGGGAAACCGGAGCUAAUACCGGAUAAUAUAUUGAACCGCAUGGUUCAAUAGUGAAAGACGGUUUUGCUGUCACUUAUAGAUGGAUCCGCGCCGCAUUAGCUAGUUGGUAAGGUAACGGCUUACCAAGGCAACGAUGCGUAGCCGACCUGAGAGGGUGAUCGGCCACACUGGAACUGAGACACGGUCCAGACUCCUACGGGAGGCAGCAGUAGGGAAUCUUCCGCAAUGGGCGAAAGCCUGACGGAGCAACGCCGCGUGAGUGAUGAAGGUCUUCGGAUCGUAAAACUCUGUUAUUAGGGAAGAACAAAUGUGUAAGUAACUAUGCACGUCUUGACGGUACCCAAUCAGAAAGCCACGGCUAACUACGUG